UACAGAGGUGGCAAGCGUUGUUCGGAUUUACUGGGCGUAAAGGGUGCGUAGGCGGCUCCGCAUGUCGGGUGUGAAAUCCCACGGAUCAUCCGUGGAACGGCAUUCGAAACUGCGGGGCUCGAGGACAGGAGAGGAGGGCGGAAUUCACGGUGUAGCGGUGAAAUGCGUUGAUAUCGUGAAGAACGCCGGUGGCGAAGGCGGCCCUCUGGACUGUUGCUGACGCUGAGGCACGAAAGCUAGGGGAGCAAACAGG
rnacentral:rRNA from 1 species